CCACGUGCGUAUAGAGGUAGCAAGAUUGCGAGCCUGCCAGAAAAAACACUAGAAACAUGGGUACCAUUAAGACAAGUGCGUGCGGAGGCGGCUAGCUUGGCCAGCCUACCAGAAAAAGCACAGAAAACAGAUGCCGGUUAGGCCAGGUGCGCACAGAGGUGGAACGCUCCGCUAGUCUGCCAGCAAGGGUACAAAAAACGGAGGGCCCGUUAGGCCAAGUCUCUAUGGAGGUGGCUUCUUCGGCCAGGCUACCAGAAAAAGCAGAACAAACGGAGGGCCCGUUAGGCCAAUUGCGUACGGAUGUGCCAAGUUUGGCCAGCCUGCUAGGAAAAGCACUAUAAACAUUAGUCCCUUUAGGCCAAGUGCGUGCGGAGGCGGCCAGUUCGGUCAGCCUACCAGAAAAAGCCCAGGAAAUGGAGGUCCCGUUAGGCGAAGUGUAUAUGGAGUUGGCAAGUUUGGCCAGCCUGCCAGACUGCGCACAAGAAACGGAAAGCCCAUAGGCCAAGUGUGUACAGAGGUGGCUAGUUUGGCCAGGCUGCCAGAAAAAGCAGAAGAAAUGGAAGGCCCGUUAGGCCAAGUGUAUACGGAGGUGGCUAGUUCGGCCAGGCUGCCGGAAAAAGCUGAAGAAAUGGAAGGCCCGUUAGACCAAGUGUUACGGAGGUGGCUAGUUCGGCCAGGCUGCUAGAAAAAGCUGAAGAAAUGGAAGGCCCGUUAGACCAAGUGUUACGGAGGUGGCUAGUUCGGCCAGGCUGCCAGAAAAAGCAGAAGAAAUGGAAGGCCCGUUAGGCCAAGUGUAUACGGAGGUGGCUAGUUCGGCCAGGCUGCCAGAAAAGGCAGAAGAAAUGGAAGGCCCGUUAAGCCAAGU
rnacentral:lncRNA from 1 species